ACAAAGUUCACCCAAUGCUUCGGCCCAGACUUCACAUGCGCGACCCAGGUUCUACAAUAUCAAGAUGAAUCAAACGCUCAGGUCAAACAUGGAAGAAAACUCACCUCGGUGCCGGAAAAUCUCUCUCGGUGGCCACACAAGCUAACAUGAAUCGAUGGGUGAUCCGAUCUUGUUUGUGCAUCGCACUUCGUCCUUCUCUAUGAUUUGUAUCAUCGUUGUUGUUUGUUAAUGUCGUCGUGUCGUUGAUGUUGAAUUGAGAUGAAGAUCGAGCGCCACAUUCGCGCCAUGAUGAAGGUUGAAGAUGGAAGUGUGAACCAGACCAUGGUGUUGUCGACAAAGAAGAGGCUGCGAUGACUAUUGCAUCGAGAUAAAGAUGAUGAACUCGAUUAUGUGAUGAGAGAAAAUUCACUUUGAACUCGUUCGCAGUGAUUGAAGGAUGCUCUUUGUUAAAUCUUGGUGGUUGCUUCAGAGAAGUGAAGGUGAUGCCAUGGUGGAUCGAAGUUGUAAAAAUUCCAAGUGUGAGGAUUGCAUAUUUAUGGUGAAUCGAGAAAAUCUACCAAAGUGAGUUCUCCCCGUAUGUUGCGAUACCAUUGAAGAUGAUGACGAAAAUGCGGACAUGGUGUUCCACAUGAUCUGUUAGUGAUUCCUUUCCCUCCUUUGCCAGUUGUUGGGAUUGGAUUUGCAGGUUCUUAUGGAAGCGGUUAGAGGAGUGCUGGUUAUGUAGUGGAAAAUGACGGGUUGUUGCGAGUUUGGUUACGGUUGGUGUGAAGCUUCCGGUUUCGUCGGUUGAGAAAUUGGAAGGGUUAUAUGGUUCUUGGAGAGUUGAGGGAGAAGUUAGAGUAUGUUAUUGAAGUUUGUUAGGGGAGGUCUUUGGAGUGAUGCCGAUUUUGGUUCGGAAUUGGAAGAGAAAAUCAAGUUUGUUGUCCUCUUUGAGGAGGGAAGUUAUUUUGUUAUAAAAACAGUUUAUUUGAGAAGUUAGUUAUUCUGCAGGAUGUUCAAUAAUUAUUUUGAGGUUUUUUCGGUUUAGAGGUAGUUGGAAGUUGUUAUCAGUUAGGAGAGAAGAUAUCGUUAGGUUUUGGUAGAUUGGCCCAAGAAAAAUGAAGACUGAGAGAGGGUUUUUGGAAUGGUUGGAGCAUCGGUUGUGGAGAGGUUGGAUGACGUGGAGGGUGGUAAAGAUGCUAAGAAAAACCUGCUUCAUAGGCCAUUUAGAUCGAUAGUAACCAAGAGUGCAUUCAUUAUCUCUAAGAAAAGAUGGCAAAGAAUGAUACUCAACAAGCUGGUACUUAACCUUUUUCCAGCCUUUUCCUUUUCCCUUCAUUUCCAGAACACGCUUCUCGAUCGUUCUCCAACAAACCAAUUGAAUUAUCACAUCCCAUUCUUGUUCAAAUUGAAUAAGGUGGUUUAGAAGAGUGAGAAAACGCGAUGGGGAAUGAUAAAAUCAUGAUUAGGGAUUAAUGGAGAGGAUUUAAGGAAAAUGAGAAAUGGGAAGAAAUGUAAUGUCUACGAUGUUAACGACAGAAGAAUCUUGGAUUGUUAUAAUUUUGUUGUAAACUUGAAAUGAGCCUUGUGAAUUGAAAGAUGGGUACAUGCAAUUUCUGUUGUGAUUUUGGAAUGUAUGUGGUUUGUGGACCUAGCUAUCAUGGCUCAUGUUGUAUAAUUGUAGGGUUUAUUGUAUUUUUUGAUUGAAAACCUUGUAUAUGGAUGUAACUGGAUGGGUGAUUGUAUGUUGUAAUUUUGGAUAUUUUGUAAUGAUUUAUGUUAUGCAUUUGAAGUUAUUGUAA